GCGUAAGCGCGCGCAGGCGGUCUGUCUAGUCUGAUGUGAAAUCCCCCGGCUCAACCUGGGAGCUGCAUUCGAAACUGGCGGGCUUGAGUCGUGAAGAGGGGAGUGGAAUUCCACGUGUAGCGGUGAAAUGCGUAGAGAUCUGGAGGAACACCGGUGGCGAAGGCGGCCCCCUGGACUGAGACUGACGCUCAGGUGCGAAAGCGUGGGGAGCAAACAGGAUUAGAUACCCUGGUAGUCCACGCCGUAAACGAUGACUGCUUGGAGGUUGAGGCCUUGAGGCCUGUCUUGCUGAGCUAACCCGUUUAGUCAACCGGCCGGGGAGGUCCGGCCGCAGGGUUGAACUUCAAUGGAUUGGCCGGGGGCCCGCCCAGCCGGGGAACCUGGGGGUUAAUUCCAUGCCACCCCGAAA
rnacentral:rRNA from 1 species